UACGUAGGGGGCAAGCGUUAUCCGGAUUUACUGGGUGUAAAGAGCGCGUAGGUGGGAAGACAAGUCAGAUGUGAAAGACCUAGGCUCAACUUAGGAACUGCAUCUGAAACUGUCAUUCUUGAGUGCUGGAGAGGAAAGUGGAAUUUCUAGUGUAGCGGUGAAAUGCGUAGAUAUUAGGAGGAACACCAGUGGCGAAGGCGGCUUUCUGGACAGUAACUGACGCUGAGGCGCGAAAGUGUGGGGAGCAAAC
rnacentral:rRNA from 1 species